rnacentral:misc_RNA from 1 species
UCACAGAAGUAUACCGCGAUGAUUCUUCCGACAAUUACUGUAAUCACCCUCACAUUACUCGCCACAGGAGCGAAUGGAAGACAAGGAUUUGGAUCUGGGGAGCAGGAAUGGGGCUACGUAACCGUGCGUCCUUACGCCCACAUGUUCUGGUGGCUUUACUACACCACGGCAAACGUAACGAAUUUCACAGAGAAGCCGCUCGUUAUAUGGCUCCAAGGAGGCCCCGGGGCUUCGUCAACGGGGUACGGGAACUUUGAAGAAUUGGGACCACUCGACCUUGAUCUAAAUGAGAGAAACUACACGUGGGUGAACGACUACAACGUACUUUUCAUCGACAAUCCCGUUGGCUCGGGAUUCAGCUACGCGGAGAAAUACUCGGGAUACCCAAAAACGAACGCUGCAAUAGCCAGCGAUCUCCUCGCCUGCAUCAAAGGUUUUCUCACAGAAUUGCCCGUUUUUGCCAUGGUCCCAACUUACAUCACCGCUGAAUCUUACGGGGGUAAAAUGGCCGCCGAGUUUGCCUACGUUUGGUACAAGGCGCAAACUGAUGGGAUAAUUGAAAGUUCGUUGAAAGGUGUGGCGAUGGGUGAUUCGUGGUUGUCGCCGAUGGAUUCUGUCAACACUUGGGCCCCUUAUCUUCUAGCCACGGGGAUGGUCGACACGAUCGGAUACGAGAAAAUCAAAGCGGCCGCACAGGCAACCCAAGACGCAGUCGACGAAGGCAGAUGGUCAGAUGCGACGUCCGAAUGGGCGACAACCGAAUACGUGAUCAUCAACGUGGCGAACAACAUCGAUUUCUACAAUAUUCUCUACAAAGUAGCGCCAUCGUCCAGUUCCUCGGCCAGAGAAUUUGCCGCCAGUAAAGCUCUGCUUCGGGACGAACGCGACGACCAGCUUGACGAGUUGAUGAACAGCGUCGUUAAGGAGGCCCUUGGGCUAAAUGUUACUUGGGGCGCACAAAGCGGCACAAUAUUUGCCGCCCUUUAUGCCGAUUUCAUGAAACCGGCAACUGACCAAGUGGAAUACUUGCUGAACAACACCGACAUCAAUAUUUUCGUAUUCACCGCGCAGCUUGAUCUCAUCGUCGACACACCUGGAACAGUUCUAUGGGUGGAACGUCUAAAGUGGCCAAACGCGACACAAUGGAUCAAUUCAUCUCGGAACCCGCUCGUUAUCGAUUCGGUUAUCGAAGGCUACGUCAAGCAGGACAAUAACUUCAAAUUAUAUUGGAUCAACAGAUCCGGACACAUGGUGCCGACUGACAAUCCUGUUGCCACCGCAGCCAUGCUGGAAGAUCUGACAAGCAACGCCGAUAGCUAGAUGCAUCAGACAAUUAAUUUUCGGUUUCAUAGAACGUGAAAAUUUCCGUGAUAUUGAAAAGGGCCAGAAUAAAUUCUUUGGUGCGCUUCAUCGACGUAAUUUUGCCAAUACGCUGCUGACUACUUGCGAUGUUGAUGAUAUGUCUCCCGAUGCAUGCCUGCUUGCUUAAGAGAGCGGAUCCGAGCCGAGGUGGCCGAUCAAAAACAGGGACUGAUUGA